rnacentral:rRNA from 1 species
UACGGAGGAUCCGAGCGUUAUCCGGAUUUAUUGGGUUUAAAGGGUGCGCAGGCGGAAGAUUAAGUCGGCGGUGAAAUUUUGCAGCUCAACUGUAAAAGUGCCUUCGAAACUGGUUUCUUGAGUGUGGAUGAAGUAGGCGGAAUUUGUGGUGUAGCGGUGAAAUGCAUAGAUAUCACGAGGAACUCCGAUUGCGAAGGCAGCUUACUAAACCAUAACUGACGCUCAGGCACGAAGGCGUGGGGAUCAAACAGGAUUAGAUACCCUGGUAGUCCCU